rnacentral:rRNA from 1 species
AUUGAACGCUGGCGGCAGGCUUAACACAUGCAAGUCGAGCGGAGAGAGGUAGCUUGCUACUGAUCUUAGCGGCGGACGGGUGAGUAAUGCUUAGGAAUCUGCCUAUUAGUGGGGGACAACAUUUCGAAAGGAAUGCUAAUACCGCAUACGUCCUACGGGAGAAAGCAGGGGAUCUUCGGACCUUGCGCUAAUAGAUGAGCCUAAGUCGGAUUAGCUAGUUGGUGGGGUAAAGGCCUACCCAGGCGACGAUCUGUAGCGGGUCUGAGAGGAUGAUCCGCCACACUGGGACUGAGACACGGCCCAGACGCCUACGGGAGGCAGCAGUGGGGAAUAUUGGACAAUGGGGGGAACCCUGAUCCAGCCAUGCUGCGUGUGUGAAGAAGGCCUUAUGGUUGUAAAGCACUUUAAGCGAGGAGGAGGCUACUGAGACUAAUACUCUUGGAUAGUGGACGUUACUCGCAGAAUAAGCACCGGCUAACUCUGUGCCAGCCGCCGCCGUAACAC